UAGUUUUGGCAAACUGGGGUCCUGA
rnacentral:piRNA from 1 species